CCACGCAAUGCUAACGGAAGUUCGAAUUGCCCGAUUAUAAUUGAUUUACAAGAGCCAGAGUCUCCAUAGGGGAUAAAACAAUGAAAAUUCCAUUAAGCCAUUACUAAUGGAAAAUAUGCUGCAAGAAAUUCAAGGGCAAAGAGAGUUGGAUGUUACUUGGCCAACACUAAAUAUGGUCUCCAUGAAGCUGGUAUAAGACGACAUGUAUUUUCAAAACUGGCAACUCUGAAAGUAAAUUGCAGCAAAGAGGAUUGAAAUAACAGAAAUUUUUGUGCUCUCAAAAUUUUACAGCAAAUGUCAAGCUUGUAGGUGUCGCAAAAAGAAAAGAAAUAAAAGAAAGAAAGAUACAUAUAUUGGAAGCUACGACUGGCGAAACCCUAUAUACGUGCACUACGACAUAGUCGUAGUUCCCUUCAUGGAAAAGGAAAUAAUUCAUAUUUAGAAAAUGCAAACGACGCAAACUGCAUGACAUUGUGAGCAGAAUUCUAUAUGCGCCGCCACUAAAGUGGUGAACAUAAACAAAAGCAAACAAAACGCGAAACCGCUCAAAAAAACCCUCGCACGACAAUGAGC
rnacentral:sRNA from 1 species